CUCAGCUUUCAACAGAUCAGGUCUCAGUUUCCUGCCUUCCUGGGAAGUGGGGAAAGGCUGAGAGGCCCCGUGCUGGGGGUGAAGCUAAUUCAUUAGUUACGCCUCAACAAGGACCGGGUGCCUGCAGUGCCAGCGUGAUUCAUCAUGAUGAUUGCCCCACUGCCAGCCUGCGUGGGCCUGGAACGCCAGCACAUUUUACCUUUACCCACUGAGAAGGGCCUGGUGGGAGGUGAAGGUACAGGAUCUGCCGAGAGCAAGAAAAAGACUCUGAGAAAGAAGAGGGCUGGUCCUCCAUGCUCUCGGCCCCAGGAAGCUCUGCCAGGCUGGUGCCGGGGUGGAGAGGCUCAUGUGGGCUCAUGUGGUGCUGCCUGUGCUGAUGGAGCCCAAGAGGGCAGCCUGGCGCUGGGUGCCAGCCUGAGCAUGUGGCGAGGCUGGGCUGCUGAGCCUCCUCCUCCACAGCCAAUGUUCCCUCAAACUGCUUGGGGGUGGGGGGAGGGACUCAUCCUCAUCCCAUUAGCCUGGCUGGGUAUUCCCUACCUUUCUGGUCUCUGAGAGACUUACCUCUUCCAAGAAGUCCUCCCGAAUGAGUAGAAGGGAGAGAGCUGGAUUGGAACUUAAGUGACAUCUGGGAGGAGCCUGAAGCCCCUCCGGUUGGGGCUGAGACUCCUAUACCCUAGGUCUGGUGUCUGGGUUCCACCUGGGUCCUCUACCUUGGCCUGGAUUCCUGCUUUCGUUUUGCCAGUCUCUCCCAGGAUGGGGGUGCAUGGCUGGUUCGUGGCUCAGAGCAACAUCUGCCUCUGUGUCCCCCCAUCAUCUGUCCGCCCCCUAACACCUCUUGCCAUAUUAGAAUUGCUAUUGCUCUGUCCUUUCAUUCAUGUAUCCAACAAAUAUAUAUUAUCUGAAAAAAAGCAUGUGCUGAAUAAUUUCAUUUGUGUGAAAUUCAAGAACAGGGAAAACUGAUCCAUAAGGAUAGAGGUCAGGAUCAUAGUUGCCUCUGUGAGGUGGGGAUUGACCGCAAGAGGCUUGAGAGAACUCUUGGGUUGAUGGAAAUGGGACAGGGGUGUGUACAUUUGUCAAAACGCAUCCAAGAAGACACUUACGAUCUAUGCAUUUCACUGUAUGCAAUGUUUGCCUCCACUUUUUUUGUUAAGUUUUUUUCAGCAAGGCGC
rnacentral:lncRNA from 1 species